rnacentral:rRNA from 1 species
AAUCAACGCUGGCGGCGCGCCUAACACAUGCAAGUCGAACGAGAAAGGGGAGCAAUCCCUGAGUACAGUGGCGUACGGGUGAGUAACACGUGGAUGAUCUGCCCUUUAGUGGGGAAUAACCAUGGGAAACCGUGGCUAAUACCGCAUAAGCUCGAGAGAGGAAAGCAGCAAUGCGCUGAAGGAGGAGUCCGCGGCCGAUUUGCUAGUUGGUAGGGUAAGAGCCUACCAAGGCAGAGAUCGGUAGCCGGCCUGAGAGGGCACACGGCCACACUGGCACUGAAACACGGGCCAGACUCCUACGGGAGGCAGCAGUGGGGAAUCUUGCACAAUGGAGGAAACUCUGAUGCAGCGACGCCGCGUGAGCGAUGAAGCCCUUCGGGGUGUAAAGCUCUUUUCUCGGGGAAGAUGAUGACGGUACCCGAGGAAGAAGCACCGGCUAACUACGUGCCAGCAGCCGCGGUAAUACGUAGGGUGCAAGCGUUGCCCGGAUUUAUUGGGCGUAAAGGGCGCGUAGGCGGCUCGGAACGUCCGUUGUGAAAUCGCCCGGCUCAACUGGGCGGGGUCAGCGGAUACGAUCGAGCUGGAGCAAGCUAGGGGGCAAUGGAAUUCCCGGUGUAGUGGUGGAAUGCGUAGAUAUCGGGAGGAACACCAGUGGCGAAGGCGGUUGCCUGGGCCUUUGCUGACGCUGAUGCGCGAAAGCGUGGGGAGCGAUCCGGAUUAGAUACCCGGGUAGUCCACGCCCUAAACGAUGCAUAUUUGGUGUGGGCAGUUCAUUCUGUCCGUGCCGGAGCUAACGCGUUAAAUAUGCCGCCUGGGGAGUACAGUCGCAAGGCUGAAACUCAAAGGAAUUGACGGGGGCCCGCACAGGCGGUGGAGCAUGUGGUUCAGUGCGACGCACGCGAAGACCUUACCUGGGCUCGAACGGCU